UACUUACAAGGUGCUGCAUGGUUGUCGUCAGCUCGUGCCGUGAGGUGUCAGGUUAAGUCCUAUAACGAGCGCAACCCCUGUCGUUAGUUGCCAGCAUGUAAAGAUGGGGACUCUAACGAGACUGCCGGUGCAAACCGCGAGGAAGGUGGGGAUGACGUCAAAUCAUCACGGCCCUUACGUCCUGGGCUACACACGUGCUACAAUGGUAUGGACAGAGAGCAGCCACUGGGUGACCAGGAGCGAAUCUACAAACCAUAUCACAGUUCGGAUCGGAGUCUGCAACUCGACUCCGUGAAGCUGGGAUCGCUAGUAAUCGCAUAUCAGCCAUGAUGCGGUGAAUACGUUCCCGGGCCUU
rnacentral:rRNA from 1 species